rnacentral:rRNA from 1 species
CAGCAGCCGCGGUAAUACAGAGGAUGCAAGCGUUAUCCGGAAUGAUUGGGCGUAAAGCGUCUGUAGGUGGCUUUUCAAGUCCGCCGUCAAAUCCCAGGGCUCAACCCUGGACAGGCGGUGGAAACUACCAAGCUGGAGUACGGUAGGGGGCAGAGGGAAUUUCCGGUGGAGCGGCGAAAUGCGUAGAUAUAUGGAGGAACACCGGUGGCGAAAGCGGCUCUCUGGCUUGUAACUGACGCUGAGGCUCGAAAGCGUGGGGAGCAAACAAGAUUAGAGACCCCUGUAGUCCCUGUCUCUUAUA